ensembl:lncRNA
CAGGACUGCAGCGACCCUGCCUAAGAACCACCCUUCAGAGGGAAUCUGUAACCUCAGACACAUCCAAGCCGAGAACCAUGGGGAGCCUGGGGCUCAGCGGGCUGUAACCCUAAACAUCCAGGCUCCAACCCUGCCAUGGUCCCAGAGACACUUCUCUCUUGCCCACUCUUCUCAAAAGCAAAGAUUCCUGAACCCACCUGUAGGAGGCGUGUGGGCUGAGCUUUGGCCCCCACGAGAGAGAAACUCUGCUCCUGAGUUGGGGGGCAGAACUGAGCAGCAGAAACUUCAAGGUGAAAGAAAAGUUGCUUUUUUUCCUGUUCUGAAGGGUCUCUGAAUCAGCAUUGUCUCUGUACCUGUUGCACAUGGCAGCUGAGGAGCAUUAUAGACUAUCCAUUCGCGAAGUCAGAGCUUCUGGUUGUUAAUCCUGGCUGUCCACUAGAGUCACCCGGGAAGCCUGUAAAGCCCAACAAUGAAGCCACACCUGACACCAGCGCAGUGAAGCUCUUUGGAAGCAGAUGCGGCCCAGGGUCCCGAGGCUUUAAAGCCCCCCUGUGAUUGCACUCUGUGGCCAGUUGGGGGAGCUCUUGCAGGGAGUCGGCGGAAGGCUUGGAAUGCUCGCUCAUCCCAAACGCUUCCUGCAAGUA